rnacentral:rRNA from 1 species
UACGUAGGGGGCUAGCGUUGUCCGGAAUCAUUGGGCGUAAAGAGCGUGUAGGCGGCCCGGUAAGUCCGCUGUAAAAGUCAAAGGCUCAACCUUUGAAUGUCAGUGGAUACUGCCGGGCUAGAGUCCGGAAGAGGUGAGUGGAAUUCCGAGUGUAGAGGUGAAAUUCGUAGAUAUUCGGAGGAACACCAGUGGCGAAGGCGGCUCACUGGUCCAUUACUGACGCUGAGGUGCGAAAGCGUGGGGAGCAAACAGG